UCGUCUCGCGUUCGGUCUUUUCUGAACAAAUGUCAUUUUAACAUUUAAUAUCUGAAUCCAAAAGAUAUAAACAGUGUCGUUCGUAAUUACAAAUCAAAUUGAUGUAAUUAUAGAAUUUGGAUAAACGUUUGAUCAUUCUAUCAACUCAUUCAUUCGUACACAAAUUCUUCCCUGUUAUAGCAGAGGAUAACAAAUAUUAGCAUGUAAUGGUAAUCUUCCCUGCCUAAACAGAGGAUGAUACUUUAUAGUAACUUAAGAGUUAAUAAUACAGAGCAAAUUAGAAUGAAUACAAACGUAACAACUUAUUUACCAGGUAGGUAAAACAUAAUUCAGAUGCCAAUUUACAUUGCAAUUCAAAUACGAAACUGUCAGGAUUUACUAAAGCACUGAAAAGGUGUAGUCUAGUUAUUUUUGUGACUGAUCUUGCAUUUCUAGUUAAAAAGAGGCAUCACAGAGAUCAGGGAAUGCGUGAGGAUACAAUGCAGAGGAUUGUUUUAACACAUAACAUAACUGGAACAUAUUGUUUGUCAAGCCAUGUUAUUUUUUAUUUGCUGAAGUCAUUCAAAAAGGAGUCACUAGGAGAAGUCACACAAUAGCAUGUGUUUCAAAACUUCUUGUAAACCUUCACAUUUUUUUGUCAUCCAAAUGUUUUCAGUGUCUUUUGUUAGCUGGGUUUACACCCCCCAAUUUUCCGCUGCGAUGUCUGUGGUGCUGAACUCAAGAUCAGCUCUGCUUAUUUGUGACCCUGAACUAAUUGUGAACUAUUUGUGAACUAAUCUGUGCUGCUUUUAGUGUUGGUCAUUAUGGAAAUCAGCUGUUGUGCUUGUGUUAUUUAAUUUGAGCUUUUUUAGUAAAUAAACCUCAACUAUUAGCACUCUCAUCUGCGCUUUUUUGGACUUGCGCUUUCAGGCUAAUUUGCCCCAUUUAGUAAAUCUGAGCCAAAGUGUCAGUUCUGUUCAUCUAAUCACAUUUCUGCUCUGAUCACACAGAUGUUUCUCUAUUUCUGUCUUUUUUCUCUUUCCUUGUUUCAUUUCUUCAUUCUUGGGUGAACUGCUGCCAAAUGACAUGAGAGCCUUUUAGACAGACAUGUGGUGCAGUGUCAGACUUCUCUCUUCAUUACUGCGUGUGAGAAUUAACAUCCGUCACUCACCACUGACAACACAAAGUAACACAAAAAGUGUUAAGCACUUUCAGUGAUUAUUGUGGUUCUGCUGUAAUGUGAUCAAUCUGCAAGUCGGACUUCAAAAGAACAGGUUCACAGGAGGGUCAAAGUUCUUUUACAGCAGCAGGAACCUUUACUGUGUAAAGAAUCAUGAGUGAAGACAGAGAAACACAACAGACCUGUCAUGAGCUGUCCUCUAAACCGUCUGGCCUCUUUGUUAAACUCCAGAGGUGCCCAAAACCAAGCAGCUUUACUGCGUCUGUCAUUACCAGAGUUGUGUUGGGUGCGCUGUUAUUGGGUUUGGUUUGGGCUGUGACGGGUCCUGCCUGUGCACCAGGUCAGAAUCUCUUUGGGUUGGUGGUUCUGUUUCUUUCUGCUGUGUGUGGAGGAAAACUCAUCAGCGUCUUCACCUUCCCUAACACACCUCCAGUACCUGCGCUCCUGGGAAUGCUGCUGGCAGGUGUGGUGUUGAGGAAUGUGCCCUAUGUCACAGACAGUGUGUAUAUAGAUCAGAAUUGGUCUUCGGCUCUUAGAAAUGUUGCUUUAGCUGUGAUUCUGACCAGAGCUGGGUUAGGAAUCAAUGGUUCUGCCUUGCAUCAUUUAAAAGCAGUCUGUGUGAGGGUUGCUGUUGGUCCGUGUGUUGUCGAGGCUUGUACGGUGGCUGUUGUGGGUCAUUUUCUGCUGGAAUUACCCUGGAUAUGGAGCUUCCUUCUUGGCUUCGUUCUAGCUGCCGUUUCCCCAGCUGUAGUUGUUCCAUCCAUGUUACUUCUGCAGACGCAAGGUUACGGCGUUCAGAAAGGAAUCCCAACCCUUCUGAUGGCUGCUGGGAGCUUUGAUGAUAUUCUGGCCAUCACUGGAUUUACCACCUGCCUGGGCAUCGCCUUCGGAACAGGGUCAACGUGGAUGAACAUUGGUAAAGGAGUUCUGGAGGUUGUGGGAGGGAUUCUGGCAGGAGGAAUUCUGGGAAUUCUGCUCUAUUUCAUCCCCAGCACAAACCAGGCAGAUGUGGUGUUGUUGCGCUCGUGUCUGUUGAUGGGUCUGUCUGUGUUCAGUGUGUUCGCGGGGCACGCGGUGGGUUUGGCCGGUGCUGGUGGUCUCUGUACUCUUGUCCUGGCGUUUAUCUCUGGACUCGGUUGGGCAGAACAGAAGGCUCCAGUGGCUGCAGUGGUGAGCAGGUUCUGGGAUGUCUGUCAGCCGCUCUUAUUUGGCCUGAUUGGAGCAGAAAUCAACAUCUCAUCCCUCAGUGUUUAUACUGUUGGGUUAGGUGUUGCCACUCUGAGUGUUGGGUUGCUGGUUCGAAUGUCAAUGACAUUUGUUGUUGUUUUGUUUGCUGGUUUCAAUAUUAAGGAGAAGAUCUUUAUAUCUCUGGCUUGGAUGCCUAAAGCUACAGUGCAAGAUCCAUGGCUCUGGACACGGCCCACAGCACUGGAGAUGAGCAGCUGCAGUAUUAUGGGAUGGAGGUUCUCACUGUGGCUGUUCUUGCCAUUCUGAUCACUGCACCAAUGGGUGCGCUUAUAAUCGGCUUCACGGGGCCUAAAUUACUGCAGAAAUACACAACUACACACCAGCACAUAAACACACAAGAUCAGCGUGUGAAAACUUGUGACUUGGGCAGCCUGGAGUCCAAACUCUGAAGCGCAAUAAUCUUUACUUAUAAACUCAACUCUCAUUCCUGCAGCAGUUUUGAGAAAUCACAUCAUCGAUCUCAAAUCCCUUCAGAAAUGAUUUCAAGCUCUUUGUUCAUAGUUUUCUAGUCUUUAUGUAAUAAAAUCCAUCACAUCAUACAGCAUGCUUCAGUUUUUUAAUCUCUCAUCUUGAGGAUUUAUUUGUAUGCUGUCAUUUAUUUUUGAUUUAAUGAAAUUGGUCCAAAUGAUUCAGAAUGCAGCAGCUUGGCUUGUUUUAUUAAUACAGCAUAAUAAUAAAGUAUAUUUUAUAAAGCAACUUUAAAAGGUCUCAAAGUGCUUUACAAGAAUAAAAUAAUGAAGUAAUAUAAUAAAGAUAAUGAUAAUAU